rnacentral:rRNA from 1 species
CCUACGGGAUGCAGCAGUGGGGAAUAUUGCACAAUGGGCGCAAGCCUGAUGCAGCCAUGCCGCGUGUAUGAAGAAGGCCUUCGGGUUGUAAAGUACUUUCAGCGGGGAGGAAGGUGUUGUGGUUAAUAACCACAGCAAUUGACGUUACCCGCAGAAGAAGCACCGGCUAACUCCGUGCCAGCAGCCGCGGUAAUACGGAAGGUGCAAGCGUUGAUCGGAAUUACUGGGCGUAAAGCGCACGCAGGCGGUCUGUCAAGUCGGAUGUGAAAUCCCCGGGCCCAACCUGGGAACUGCAUUCGAAACUGGCAGGCUAGAGUCUUGUAGAGGGGGGUAGAAUUCCAAGUGUAGCGGUGAAAUGCGUAGAGAUCUGGAGGAGUACCGGUGGCGAAGGCGGCCCCCUGGACAAAGACUGACGCUCAGGUGCGAAAGCGUGGGGAGCAAACAGGAUUAGAUACCCCCGUAGUC